GAAUCCUUCUACAGAGACCGAGAAGAAAAAGCUCUGAACAGAGAUCGAACAUGGAUCCAAAGAUUACAGAAGUUUCACAGACUUUCGAACGAUUCAAAGCUGCUUUUGUGCGUAACGAUUUUGAUGCUUGCACUAGGCUACUCUCCCAGCUCAAGGUUCUUCUGACCUCUUUCACGAGCUUACCGCCCCUAUUCCAAGAAACAUCUAAUGCCAUCCAUGAGUUGACAAUUGCAAGAGAUAUUUACGAGCAUGCAGUUGUUUUAUCUGUGAAGAUGGAGGACCAGGAUGCUUUCGAGAGGGACUUCUUUCAGCUAAAACCAUAUUACACAGAUGCACGUGGCCGUCUUCCAGCUUCCCCACAGGAAUACCCUAUCUUAGGUCUCAACCUUCUGCGGCUUCUUGUUCAGAAUAGGAUUGCUGAGUUCCACACCGAACUUGAGUUACUUUCACAGAGUGCUUUGGACAACCCAUGUAUAAAGCAUGCUGUUGAAUUAGAGCAAUCCUUCAUGGAAGGGGCUUACCACAGGGUGUUGAGUGCACGACAGACUGUGCCUGACGCAACCUAUGCCUAUUUCAUGGAUCUGCUUGCAAAGACUGUGAGGGAUGAGAUAGCUGGAUGCAGUGAGAAGGCA
rnacentral:misc_RNA from 1 species